CGCCCAGCAACCCUUAUCCGUACCUGUUCGCGGUACUGGCCGAGGUAUGAGCAAUCUUAGGGAAAAUCGGGUUACCAAUCCCGGUGGGAACUUUGGUCAUAUACUGAAAGGGAAGG
rnacentral:ribozyme from 1 species